rnacentral:ncRNA from 1 species
AGUGAGUUUGAUUUUUGCUCAGCUUUUACUAUUUAAUUGAUAUAUACGUAAAAUAAGUUAUAAGAAGAAAUAAUAUAAAAUUUAGCUUUUAGGUUCAGUAUAAGAAAUUAAUCAAUGAAUUAUUGUUUGAAUUAGUAAUUAGAUAAGUCCAGGCUAAAUUUGUGCCAGCAGCCGCGGUUAGACUAAUAGGGCAAGUAAAAGUUUAUAAGUUAAAUAAUUAAAAGAGUUUAAGAUAAAGGAGCAGUUUAUAAAAAUAAAAGGUGAAAUUUAGUGUUUUUAGGUAAAUGGUUUUAGUUUAAAAUAUUUUGAAAUUAUGAAAGUUUAGGUUUAAAUUAGGAUUAGAUACCCUAUUAUACUUUACUGAAAAUUAGAUAUGCUUGAGUAGUAAUCGGUUAUGAUCUUGAAACUUAAAGGAUUUGGCGGUAUUUUAGUCUAGUUAGGGGAACCUGUUUUAUAAACGAUAAACCACGAAGUAUCUUACCUUUCUUGGUUAUGUCAGUAUGUAUACCGUCAUUAUUAGAUGGUCUUUAUAAAGAGCCAUUAAAAUAGUUCUAUGUUAAAAUAUUAGAUCAAGGUGCAGCGGAUGGAGAGGAAAAUAAUGGGUUACAAUGUUGUUAAAAUAUACGGAUAUAUAAUUGAAUGUUGUAUAUGAAGGUGGACUUAAGUGUAAUUAUAUUUUAAUAAGGUAUAAUGAUAUUAGCUCUAUAAUAUGUACACAUCGCCCGUCGCUCUCAUUUUAAUGUGAGAUAAGUCGUAACAUAGUAAAUGUAUUGGAAAAUGCAUUUAGAAUUUA